AUGGCUUCUUCUUCGGUAAUCACUCCCGAAGAUGUUUUGGAAUCGCUCAUGAACGACGGUACAAUUGAUGCCCUUAGAUUGAAGAUCAUCAACCAGCUUAAAGCCAAUGAGGAACUCAAGAGUACUACUAUAAAGAUGGCUGAACAGAGUAAGGUUCUCAACACUCCCGGUGCGGAGAAACAAACCAAAAGAGAGCUCUUUGAUGCGCUUCGCCAAGAACUUGAGUAA